rnacentral:rRNA from 1 species
UAAUGCUCCAUAGUGGAUAUGUCCUGGAAUGGUAUAUCCUCGAAAGAUCCGUCGCCUUAGGAUGGGACUGCGUCCGAUUAGAUUGUUGGCGGGGUAACGGCCCACCAAGCCUUUUAUCGGUACGGGUUGUGGGAGCAAGAUCCCGGAGAUGGAUUCUGAGACAUGAAUCCAGGCCCUACGGGGCGCAGCAGGCGCGCAAACUUUACAAUGCGAGCAAUCGUGAUAAGGAAACCCUGAGUGCCUGUCGAUGCAGGCUGUUCAUAUAUCUAAAUCAUAUGUGAAGAAAGGGCAGGGCAAGACCGGUGCCAGCCGCCGCGGUAAUACCGGCUGCUCGAGUGAUGGCCACUAUUACUGGGUUUAAAGCGUCCGUAGCUUGACUGUUAGGUCUCUUGGGAAAUCUUCACGCUCAACGUGAAGGCGUCUAAGAGAUACCGGCAGUCUUGGAACUGGGAGAGGUAAACCGUACUUCGGGGGUAGGAGUGAAAUCUUGUAAUCCUCGAGGGACGACCUAUGGCGAAGGCAGUUUACCAGAACAGCUUCGACAGUGAGGGACGAAAGCUGGGGGAGCAAACGGGAUUAGAUACCCCGGUAGUCCCAGCCGUAAACAAUGUGCGUUAGGUGU